AAAGCUGGGGCGAGUCCUGUGGGCGGGGGUGCAGUACUAGGCCACUCCUGCAACCCCCUGGCCUCAAGGCCCCUUGGCUUUCAGGGGUCGCGUCUGCACCCUCAGGGUUGCUGUGAAGAUCAGGGCUUGCCCAUAAGCCUGGUGCCCAAUGGGGCUGCGGCUCUGUUUGUUCCACCACCUGCUACCCUCCCUUUUGGUGUAGUGGCAGGGAGACCACCACACGUGCAUUUACCGCAGCCCCUUCUCGGCAGCCGGGAUCGUGGCUGGUCCUCUGUGAGGGCGAGGGGUGCGCCCAGGACUUAGCUCUGCGGGAGCUGGUGGAUGCUCACUCAGGCCUGUUUCUCAGCCAGGGGAAAACAAUUGGUUCAGAGGCUGGAUCCCUGGGGACGCCAGGAGCAGGUGCGGGCAGCUCUGAGCUUCCCACCACUCCCUGGCUGAGCCUCUCUAAACUGGGCCUAUAGACCCAUGGGGGCUGGGAGCCUUCCCGCAGGAGGCAGAGGCUGAAUAGAUGAGCCUGCUUGACUUCCACCUUCCCCAGG
rnacentral:sRNA from 1 species